GAAGUGCGUGUUUAUAGUACUGUAGUUCCUCGAUUCCCUAAAAUGUACGUUAAAUAUACUACUUAGCGAUCAAAGUGUGGAAAAUUGAGAUCAAACAUUUCUCUAAAUCAUACAUGUAUUAUCACCAAAGCCGAAUAUAGACUUUACUUGUAAAUCAAUAGCGCGAGACAAACGUCAUCAAGAGUUAGGGAAAUCGUGUUAUGUCUUGAGGAGGGAGCUUAUGAAGGAGAGAAACUUAAUGUUUUAGAAAGAUUGUAACAUUAAUGGCGUGAAAGAAAGGGGAGAGCAGAGUCACGUGCCCAUCACUGGGAGCACAAUCAUAUUUGUGCCACCUUUCGAAUAAUAUCAGUUAUGUAAUUAUCAUUAAAAUUGAACUAAACUUAA